ACGUUUGUGAGGUCAGAGACUCGGAAGGUUCUUAUUCGCUAGCAUCUUCUUUUCAAAAUGCAACAUUUGUUUUUGGUUCAACUAAAGUAUGAUUAAAAUGAUUUCAAUAAAAUGAGGUCGGAGAUGAAUUUAAAACCUACGCUUAUGAAUUAUGAACUAUUGUAGAUGAUAGUAUACAGGCCCAAAAUGUGAUUUAAGAUGCUACU
rnacentral:lncRNA from 1 species